UCAGUGGUCAUUACCAUGGGCUAUGAAGGCCUGGGCUCUCCCCAGCUCUGCCAUUUAUUGGCUGGUCAACAUUGAAAAAGAAACAUCUGUGCUUCCAUCUCACCAUCUGCGAAAUGGGGUAAUAACCCCCACCCCUACCACACCAGUCAAUAUCUCCCCUUCUCCGCCUGUGACAACCACUGAUCGCCUUGCUGUCACAGUCAAUCCGUGAAAGGACCUGCUCCUGAACAUGCAAUCGAGCCGUGCAGGAGGUCAUCUUCUGUGCCUGGUUUGGAGAUUUCUGCAACAUGGUUGCAUCCCUCCAUGAGGCUUUCUUGCUGCUGAGUGGGAUUCCAAUGUCCCAGUGUCCACAUAGACUCCAGCUGGUUGACCCAUUCACUACGAUGGACACUGGGUUAUUUCCAUGGUGGGGUAACUAUUGAUAAAGCCACUGCAGAUGU
rnacentral:lncRNA from 1 species